AUUAAAACUCAUUAUUGUUAUAAAUAGAAUAAAUAGUUCAUAUACAUAAAACUUACAAACUUUUAUUAAACUAUGCUUAUUUUUCUGAUUACACAAAUAUUCUUAGAUGUUAUAGUUGUUUAUUUAAAUAUUGUAUAUUGAACUAAUAAAUACUGAUUUUACAGGUUAAACCAAAUCAAGCAAUUAUGUUAAAAAGGAAACCGAAGAAAAAAAUGUUUCAAGCAUUGUAAACCCUGAAGUAGAUUUUGCUGUGAAACCAAGCAAUCCAGAACUACCAAUACCAAAAUUUUCUGCCAAAAAAUUAGUAUUUUCAACGGUGAAAACUGAAAAGGUUGAAAACAAUCAAGACAAUGAAGAACAACUAUCAAGUUUAGAUAAUGUGCUGUUACUUAAUGAGGACUGUAGUCGAAAGAUCAAAGUAAAAAAAUACAAACAAGCAUCAAAAGAAUGCAUAUUGGCCAACUGCCAAAGAAAAACAUUGAGCCAUUUCCGGCACCUACAAUAUUAUCAUAAAAUGACAAAAGAAAAAGCAAAAGAAGUUAUUGGCAUUUAUAAAUUAAACAAUUCAAAAACAUUAACACAAUGCCCCUUGCAAUGUUCAUCAGUUGUAAAAAGGAUGGACGUCCAUCUUAUGAAAUCUCACAAUUUAAAACCAAAUACUGAAACUUUCAGAAAUUUAUUAAAAGAAGCAAAAUUACCAGCUAAUUAUACGGCAAAAACGGAAAAGACGGCUGAUCUGACUUUGUCAACAUCAAUGUUAACAAAAAAAUUAGACAAUAUCAAGGAGUAUACUAACGAAUACAAUGAUGAAUUGAAUAUCAACAAAACAAGCAGUGAGUUUUCUUAUUCAGAAAAUGAAUCAAGUGACACUGUGGAUGAACUUUUCGUUUCAAAUGAAUGUUCUCCAACAACUCUGCAUCAAAGCAUAGAAAUUCUACUUGAAGCGUUCAAAAAAUUUUUGAUUGGUCCAGACAAUAAAAAAGAGUUUAUAUCGGCUGAUACAACAGUAUCUGAUGUAAAACGUUUUUUUCAAAUUGUUGGCGCUACGCAAGAGAUUUCUGUUUAUUUUGCAAUUGACACUAUUAGAAAAGUAUACGUCGCCAAACUUGAAGAGAAAGGUUUAAAAGCUGGAACUAUAAAAAAGUAUUUAUUUUCAUUAAUACACUUUAGUAGAUUUUUAAUAAAUGAUAAAACAUCAUUACAAUUGUCUGGAUGUAACUUGGCUGAUUUAUUUAAAAUAAAGGACAUGCUAACAACUUGGACAAAAAGUUAUAAUAGAGCCGACCGACAAGGUUUUUAUAAACGUCAAGAACGAGAUCAUAAUUCGCGUAUAACACCAGAUGAGGUGUCGAAGUAUUUUAAAUCAGAAGGUGCAAUAAAUGCUGUUGAACUUUUUAAAACAUUUUCUUUAUUUAAAGAAAGUAUCACUCAGAAACAAUAUACAACUAUGAGGGACUAUUUGAUAUUUGAUUUGUUGAUCAGACAUGCUCACCGUGCCGGCGUUGCUGCAAACAUAACCCUAAAGGAGUUUUUUAAUGGUGCACUGAGUGAAGAUGGAAAUUAUACAGUUUCUGUCUUUAAACAUAAAACAAUAGAUACACACGGCCCUGCACUUGUAGUUUUAGACCCUGAAUCGUUUAAAUGGUACACAACGUUUAUAAACAAUGUUAGAUCCCAGAUUUCAACAAAAGUUGACAAUAUAUUUAUUUCAUGGUCUGGAAAACGAAUGAGGUCUGGUGCUGUAAAUACACAGGUCCAAUUCAUGUGGAAAAAAGCAGGCAAUUAUAAUCCUGAAAAGCGUAACAUAUGUUCAACUCUCAUACGAAAAUCUGCAUCUACAGGUAUACGAGAGCAGAAAUUAGGAAAUUAUCAGGAAGUUGCUCGCCUUAUGGCACACUCUGAUGAGACAGCUAAGAAAUUUUAUUUCACUCAGGAUAAUCAAGCAAAUGCAGCAAAAGCCAGUAGUACUUUGCAGUCUUAUUUUAAAAGUCAAAAAUCCACAACUACUACUGAAACUAAUCAGAAUGAAGCUCUUGAAAAAAGAAAAAAAUGGAGUGAUUCAGAGGAACAAAUACUCAAAAAUAUUUUCACACAACCUCCGACAAUGGCUGAAGUUGUAACAAAAUUACCGUUGACUGGAAUUAAUACCACUCCUCGUAAGAUGUUUGACAAAGUCAGAACCACAUUUAAAUCACCACAAACGAAACGCAGUUCUAACCUUUCACCACCACUAAAAAGCAACCUUACACCUAAAAGAAUAAAACUCUUUGUACAUGACGAUAUUAAAGAAAUAAGGGGGAUCUUCAGUGACCUGAUCAAUGGAGGUCCCAUCCUUAAAAAUACUAUUAAAGAAAGAAUCGAAAACACAAGACUUUCCAAAUACAUAAUAAAUCAAAUACGAACAAGAUUAAUGUAUGAAGAAAAAAAAAAAAGUAGGUCUUUUUUCCACAUGAAUUGGACUUGCAUGUUUACAACACCAGACCUCUUUCGUUUUCCAGACCAUGAAAUAAAUAUUGUCAACUUUAAUUGAAAUCUGGGAUCUAACAUUGUUUAUAAACGUUGUGUACCAUUUAAACAAUUUGGGGUCUAAAACUACAAGUGCAGGGCCGUGUGUAUCGUUUUAUGUUAAAAGACAGAAACUGUAUAAUUUCCAUCUACACUCAGUGCACCAUUAAAAAAUUCCUUAAAAUUAGCAGCAACGCUGGCACGAUGAGAAUGUCUGAUCAACAAAUCAAAUAUCAAAUAGUCCCUCAUAGUUGUAUAUUGUUUCUGAGUGAUACUUAAUAUAAUAUGUUGGAGUGAAAGAUAGAAGUAGUCGAGUUAGAAGGAUAGCACAGAGUAAGCGGACAGGAUUGCACACGAUGUUAGAGAAUGCAAAUACAUACUGUUUGUUGGGUCAUUAGCUAAUGUACGCCGACGAAGUUGCGAUUGGAGUUCACAUUACAUUAGCUCUUCCUUUACUUUCUUUGUCAUAGGACACCUAAAACAAAUUGCAUAAAUACAUAAAAUCUGUAAAUGAGCAUCUAAACCGCUUACGGGUUAGUUUAAUUAUGUUCAUAAACAAUCAUAACAAAUCUUUUCAUAUUUAAAAUAGGCUGAUAUUGCUUG